rnacentral:misc_RNA from 1 species
AACGCAACUUGCGCCGAGCAAUCGGCAUGUCUGUCUGAGUGUGUAACUAUCUAUACGAUUUUCGUGAAGUGGUGCAAGUGUUGGCUUGGAGAGGAGUAAGGGGAUUUAAUCUCCUUAUUUUGAUUUGUCAAUACUGCACUGAAUGAUAGCAAGAAGAUGCAUAAGUAUCUAGUUCAGGUGCCAAGCAUCCCAGAACAAAAACAUUCAUGCUCUGACCAAACCAAACUUAUUUCACACCUCAGAUCAGUCAAGAUCACCCGCUGAACUUAA